rnacentral:rRNA from 1 species
UCGUCAGCUCGUGUUGUGAAAUGUUGGGUUAAGUCCCGCAACGAGCGCAACCCUUAUCCUUUGUUGCCAGCGGUCCGGCCGGGAACUCAAAGGAGACUGCCAGUGAUAAACUGGAGGAAGGUGGGGAUGACGUCAAGUCAUCAUGGCCCUUACGACCAGGGCUACACACGUGCUACAAUGGCGCAUACAAAGAGAAGCGACCUCGCGAGAGCAAGCGGACCUCAUAAAGUGCGUCGUAGUCCGGAUUGGAGUCUGCAACUCGACUCCAUGAAGUCGGAAUCGCUAGUAAUCGUGGAUCAGAAUGCCACGGUGAAUACGUUCCCCGGGCCUUGUACCCACCGCCCGUCCCACCAUGGGAGUGGGUUGCAAAAGAAGUAGGUAGCUUAACCUUCGGGAGGGCGCUUACCACUUUGUGAUUCAUGACUGGGGUGAAGUCGUAACAAGGUAACCGUA